UCACAUGGUAAUGUUUUGUUCAACAUUCAUCGAAUGUAAUUGCAAAAUGGACUGCUAAAACCCAGAUACCACACGAGGAUGAAAAAUAGAUGUUGUCCGAUUCUCCACCAUAGCCGAUAUGCACGCUAAGAUUCACGAAAAUCGGCCGAGCGGUUUCAGAGGAGUUCAAUAACGUACACCGUGUAUUUUAUAUAUUAGAUGUAUCAUUCUUAUUACAUAUUCAAAAUAAAUAAUUAAAAAAUUGAUGAAGUCAAAGUUCGC